CAGGUUGACUUCAUGUGUCUGUGUUGAGCCAUGUUAUGUGAAAACUAGCAGGGUGACACAUACACACGUGGACAGAAUUGUUGGUACCCUUCCGUCAAAGAAAGAAAAACCCACAAUGGUCACUGAAAUAACUUGAAACUGACAAAAGUAAUAAUAAAUAAAAAUUCACUGAAAAUUAACUAAUGAAAAUCAGACAUUGUU